rnacentral:misc_RNA from 1 species
ACACCGGCACCAUCCGCCUCGGCGCCAACAUCGAAAUGGCGACGCUGGAUCAGCACCGCGAAAGCCUCGACCCGAAAACCACACUGGCCGAUGCGCUCACCGGCGGCCGCGGCGAUAGCAUCAUGGUCAAUGGCACGCCGAAGCACGUCAUCGGCUAUAUGAAAGACUUUCUUUUCGCCAGCGAGCAGGCGCGCACUCCGCUUGAAGUCCUGUCGGGCGGUGAGCGCGGGCGGCUGAUGCUGGCGCGUGCGCUGGCGAAAC